AAAAAAAAAAUUUAUUAUGCUUUGGUUGCCGCCGGGCCUAGCAGCUAUCCUUACUGUAGAUCUCUUGAAACAAUAUGAAACAAUCAUAAAUAGGGAUAUGGGUAUCAUAUCCCAUAUAAACAGGGAUAUGGGUAUUCCAUGAAAGAAAAACAGAGAAAAAAGCUACCCCAAUAUCCAGAAGCAAGAUGAACUGCCAAGGCGCACGACCUGAAGAGGAAUAGAAACUGUCGACGGCGUGAGAGGUGGAUAUGGCUUCACCGCCAUUCACUCUUAUCUCUAUUUACCAUUCCCUUUUUGAAAGUGAAUCCAAAAAGGUGGAGCGGGAAAACAAACCCGAAAAGAAUAAUAUCAUAAUCAAUUCAGAGUUCACAAAUCUACGAAACGGUAAAAAUAUCAGAAAUUUCUGAAUAACGUGAAAGUUGGUGUUUGUUAAUAUUGGAUCCAGAGUAGGUACUAUUUGAGAAUGAGAUUGAAACUGUAAGAUCGCACAUACUUGGAAGCAAAGGCCAAAGGCGCAGGAAGUGCAUGGGAUACUGGUGGAUUGCAACAAGUGACUUCCAAACUUCAGUUUGCAGAGUCCACUCUUUUUGUUGAGGUACAUGAUGAACAUAUAGAUGUGGCCUACAGUCCAAGAUCUGGCAUGAGGCCUUCAAAAGAUACUGAAAUGCAGAAACAGAUUGACAAGAAACUUGGCUACAUGCAUAGUAGAUCUCUUGAUGAAACAUAUGGCACUGAGCUGCAUAGUCUCCCUAACCAGUUGCAGACAGCAGGUAGCCUACCUGGGAGCUUUAAUUAUAUGGUGGAGGAAUGUUUAGAUGUGGAUUUUAAUCCAGAUUGGUGGUGGCAAAAUUACUUGGGCAAAAUUUACCUUUUCCUUUAUAUGAGAGCUAAGUACCUUUAUGACAGCUAGUACUAUUUAAGUUUCUUUUACUUUUGCAAACUUCACUCAAAAAAUUUCAAUUGAGAAAGCAUUGUAAAUGUGAUUACUUGAAAUACUUCUCUAUAUAUUAAUAUAUUGCAAUUUCAUUUCAAUUU